rnacentral:tRNA from 1 species
UCCCUCAUAGCUCAGUGGUAAAGAAUCUGCCUGCCAAUGCAGGAGACGUGGGUUCAAACCCACUCAGAAAG